UUUAUCCUGUUUUCUGUAUUGUGAGAUACUCUCGUAAGCACUUCGCGUCGAGCUUUUAGUUUCUCUGGCAGACUGUCGGGAUUCUGCACUCGAUUUUACAGUGUAAAUUGGUAUUUUAAGACUUUUCGAAGAAACGCUAUUUCGUGGUAUUUUUGUGAUUUCGGUCACAAUGCCUAAACGAUGUGUGUUUGAUUGUUCACCUAGUGGUGAGUGAGUAUAGAAGUGGAAACUAAGCGAUAGAAAUACCACGGAAAGUGGAGAUCCAUAAUUUAUCUGCUUGCAGUCUUACUAGCAUACUUUACGAAAUAUGAUUGCACGCAGACAUAGAUGCCAGCCUUCAUUCAUUUUCAAACCCUAAAAGAUUCUGUCAUUACUUGAAUUGGUGGGUUAAUCUUACUAGUGAUUUUGAAUUGACUAAUGAACAGAUUUUCAAAAAAAAGUUUGUGAAGUUCAUUUCACCGACAGAGAUCAUAAUCCUAAUAACCGAUUAAAUGCUUUAGCCAUUCCAUCUCUUUAUUCAAAUGGCUUUCAUGGAAAACUUCCUUACUCUAGUGAAAUGGUCAGUCAGGAAAUGGAACUGAACACCCAAUUAGAAGUUGUUAUGAACAUAAUAUUAUAACACUUUCAAACAUAUACCAGGACAAAGCUACCACCAGCUGCACCAUUGAAGAUAUCAAUAUUAAGUCAUCCAUAUCAGUUGCCUGUGGCUCAGCAUCUACUUCUGCAGUAACCACUCAAUAGAAUGUUAAGCACAACAUGAAAAGAUCAUCAAAAAGGCAUUCAGAAUAUGCUGCUAUAAUGCUGGACUAUGGUUAUUGCAAGAAAAGAUCUUCAAAGGCUUCGGAAAGAACGGUGCCGUCCAAAUUGACAGUAAAUAGGUAUAGCACUUACCAAAAACAAAUUUGUAACUUGAGAAGAGAAAUCUACAGACUGCGAAAAAGUGGUCAUUCAUUUAAGGCGCGGCUUGCAAAAGCCGAAAAACUGGAUGGCAACACUACUUUUCAAAAAGUAGUUAAAGGUAUGACAUCACAAGCCAAAUUGUUUACCGCCAUGCAGAUGGAAACGGCGAAA